rnacentral:ncRNA from 3 species
AGGCAGUGUGUUGUUAGCUGGCUGC